AACGAACGCUGGCGGCAUGCCUAACACAUGCAAGUCGAACGAGACCUUCGGGUCUAGUGGCGCACGGGUGCGUAACGCGUGGGAACCUGCCCUUAGGUUCGGAAUAACUCCCCGAAAGGGGUGCUAAUACCGGAUAAUGUCUUCGGACCAAAGAUUUAUCGCCUUUGGAUGGGCCCGCGUUGGAUUAGCUAGUUGGUAGGGUAAAAGCCUACCAAGGCGACGAUCCAUAGCUGGUCUGAGAGGAUGAUCAGCCACACUGGGACUGAGACACGGCCCAGACUCCUACGGGAGGCAGCAGUGGGGAAUAUUGGACAAUGGGCGAAAGCCUGAUCCAGCAAUGCCGCGUGAGUGAUGAAGGCCUUAGGGUUGUAAAGCUCUUUUACCCGGGAUGAUAAUGACAGUACCAGGAGAAUAAGCUCCGGCUAACUCCG
rnacentral:rRNA from 1 species